rnacentral:rRNA from 1 species
GACGAACCGAGCGAACGUUGUUGGGAAUCACUGGGCUUAAAGGGUGCGUAGGCGGGCUGCCAAGUUUGGGGUGAAAUCCUCCGGCUCAACCGGGGAAGUGCCUUGAAUACUGGCGGUCUCGAGGGAGGUAGGGGCGUGCGGAACUAACGGUGGAGCGGUGAAAUGCGUUGAUAUCGUUAGGAACUCCGGUGGCGAAGGCGGCACGCUGGACCUCUUCUGACGCUGAGGCACGAAAGCCAGGGGAGCGAACGGG